rnacentral:rRNA from 1 species
UACGAAGGGGGCUAGCGUUGCUCGGAAUGACUGGGCGUAAAGGGCGCGUAGGCGGUUUGUACAGUCAGAUGUGAAAUUCCUGGGCUUAACCUGGGAGCUGCAUUUGAUACGUGCAGACUUGAGUGAGGAAGAGGGUUGUGGAAUUCCCAGUGUAGAGGUGAAAUUCGUAGAUAUUGGGAAGAACACCGGUGGCGAAGGCGGCAACCUGGUCCUUGACUGACGCUGAGGCGCGAAAGCGUGGGGAGCAAACAGG